rnacentral:rRNA from 1 species
UAAUACGGAGGGUGCAAGCGUUGUCCGGAUUUAUUGGGUUUAAAGGGUGCGUAGGCGGCCUUUUAAGUCAGCGGUGAAAGACCCCGGCUCAACCGGGGCAGUGCCGUUGAUACUGGAAGGCUUGAGUGUUGGAGGGGUACAUGGAAUUGAUGGUGUAGCGGUGAAAUGCAUAGAUACCAUCAGGAACACCGAUAGCGAAGGCAUUGUACUGGCCAACAACUGACGCUGAGGCACGAAAGCAUGGGUAGCGAACAGG